AGAAUUAUGCUCCGGUUCAACUUUCUCUAGUUUACUUGCUCCACAUUUUACUGAAAUUUGGCAUCCAACAGCUCAAUGAAACAUUGCACCACAAUUGAGAGUUCAAGACCAUUUAUUAUCUAGGGCCCUCUCAAAUUUAUUCCCAAAGAAUGAGAAUCUGAGAGCAGCUGAAAGAACACUCCUAAACCUGAACUCCUCUUUCCAGAGGCAGCUGAAUUCAAGUGCGGGAGGCUGGUCAUCUUGUCUGUCAUCAGGAGAGUAUAUGGCCAGCGUAAUACAGUCCAGUUUCAUCCACGUUGAUGCAAAUGGUCUCGGUACUCGAGAGAACAUAGAGACCAAUGAAGAUGAAAGAAAAGAAUCUAAGAAGAAAAGGAUGCAAAGAAAAAAAUGAUGGAACCUGGGGAACAGUGGGAAAAAUCAAAAUUAAAACUGUGAGAAAAAAAUAAAAAAAUAAAACUGUGAGAGCAUAUUAUCCAGUCUCAAUGGAAAGCAAUUCUAUCCUUCGUUGGAGAGAUAUAAAGCAAAUUCAUUUCACCUGCCUUGUCAUUAUUUUAACUCAGUCAUUCAAUACCCCCUAAAAAAUCACAUUGGG